ACCCCCUUAGCCGUCGGCAACGACGGACUCCACUCGCCAUCCGACCCUGCGGCCAUGAGAUCCAGACCCAAUCGGGAAGGCGAUCAAAGCCCGGCUACAACUCCGGUGAGAUCUCCCACCGGAGCAGUGGAUGAAGGCGGUGACAGGCCCAUCCGUACUCCCGACAGGUGGUGGUGUGGUGGUUGGCCCCUCCCCCCGUUUCCACCCAGACUCGGUGUCAUCCCCACCUCGCCAUGCGGAUCCAAGGUGCCCCCGCCCCUGCGAUGGCUCGGCGCGGAUCCAUGGUGGCCUCAUCCCCUCUCCAUGUGUGACAGCGCCCCUAGCGAGCUGCAAGCCGCACCGUGGCAAACGACGGGUAGACUGCGGGCGUGCCGCGAUGGUUGAUGGGAUUUGGGACGCCGACCUGGGCAGAUCCUGCACGGCACGACGGUGGCUCCCUCCCUGCACGCGACGUCCAGCCUAAGCUUUCCCAAGCGUGUGUCGUCCGCCUCCAUGAACGAAGCUCUAGGAUGCAAGUUCAGCCAGGAGUUCUCAACUGGGAGCUCUCUAGUCACUCCGUAGUGGAGGUCAGCAACAAGAGCAGAAACAAGAUGUGAGGUGGUCACCAUGAUCCUCUCAUGUGUAUUCAGGAUUAUUAUGUCUUUCUCUUAUUCUGAAUUAUAGAUGUGCUAAUCAGAAAACACACUGAUGGAGGCAGAAAAAAGCUUGAUGUAGAUGUGGGUUAAUAUCCAUUUGAGAAUUAUUUCACAACCACAAUGGAGACCAGUCAUUUUAGAUAAGAGUCUGUACUAUGCAGUUAACUGAUAGAGUGUACUUACAAAAGGUUAGGGUGGACUUCAACCAGGGUUCUGUCAGAUAUCAGAGUAUAUUGUACUAAGUAGAGUUCAGGUUUCUGCCUUGCUCGGCCCAUGUGAUUUAGAAUACUUUUUUGCAUGUUGCCUUAUUUACAACUGUCCAAUAUGUUAGAAAAGAUGUAUGUGUAAUAUAAAAGAAAGGUGUACAAUGAUCAGUGCUUACUAAAUAUAUGGGAUAAACAAGCAUGCCUUUGUUAUCAUAACAUGCAGUGGCGCUUAUUCACUACUCUCUGCUCUUUGUUGUCUGCAGUUAAUACAUGAUUCAAGACUACUUAUUUCUCUGCUCUCAGUUUCUCGCACUCGUGUGCAGUCGUAAAUUAUUCUAAAUUAUCACUCAUGUGCAGUCUGUGGACACUUCUAUUGUUGAUUCAUUCAAUACUUGAUUUCUCUGUUCUCAAUUUUAUCUCCCUCACUUGUGCAUAGUCUGGGGAUACAAGGAGGAUAUUCUGCUGCACCUCCUAUCCAGAACUUCAGGUCAAGUUCUUUGAAGUAUUACCAUGUUCAUUUUUUAAACGGAUUGAUGAGUUUUAUUAGUGAAGAGCGAAGAUGCGUAUCUGCUCAGAAUUCAGGUAUUCAACAUGUUCACUUUCAGAGAUGUAAACUAUAUCUGAUUAGGUUUAAUUCCUGAGAAACUACUUUUAUUCAGAUUCUUCAGAUGCAUAAUGAUACUAUAUUUUUAGAUCAAUAAUAAUUCAGAUUCUUCACUGAAUUAUGCUUUUAGCCACUGCACAUAGAUGGUUGUCCACAUUCUGGUCACCUAAACUAUGAUUGUUAUGGAUCAUGUAUUUCUUCGUGGAUCAUGUAUUUCUUGUAUUACGUAUGUUUUAAACUUGGAACAGAUGAGAGACAUCAACCCAGUGGGGAAUAAUAGCUGCUCCAUGUUGCUAAUGGAAAAUCUAUGAAUAUUUUCUAGUACAAGCUCUGUGUACCAGCCACAAUGCACUUUCUAAGAAUCUGAAGGAGCAUCAUGGGGAUUUUCUUUUCAUUUUACUUCUACUUUUCGCUAAUCUGAGUGAUGGUGCGUUCAUGUGUAGCAGAUUGCAAUCCGUGUCAAGAAUCUGGAGUCGGAAAUGCACAGCUGCUAAAGAUUUAGAAGUGAAGAUGCAAAAGUCAUAGAAAUUGGUGAAAUGAUUGCAAGCAGCACAGGCAAACUGGACUAGGAUUCGGGCUUGUUCGCUUCAGCUUAUAAGCCGGCUGAAAAGCUGAAACGGCUGAUUUGUUGUGAGAGUAAAACACUGUUUGGUGGCUGAUAAGUCGGCUGAAUAAGCUGAAGCGAACAGGUAGAGAUAUUGGUUCUUGGUAGUGUUAGAAAGUUAUGUGGUGUUGCCCUUUGGUUCAUGUGGCUGGAAAUGCUAUGCAUGGUAUUGUUUUGAUUGGAAUUAUGAAAAAAUCGUAGUGUGCAUGUUGAUUGCAUUUCUGAAUGCAAGUGAUGAGCAAUGGACCUCUCCAAUCUUUUUUUUUGUUUUUUA